GCGGUUCCGGUUCACGUCAGGCGCCUCGCCCGACGACCCGGCGACC
rnacentral:ncRNA from 1 species